rnacentral:rRNA from 1 species
GACAGAGGGGGCAAGCGUUGCUCGGAAUCACUGGGCGUAAAGGGCGCGUAGGCGGGAUGGCAAGUCGGUCGUGAAAUCUCUCGGCUCAACCGAGAAACGUCGGCCGAUACUGCCGUUCUUGAGGGAUGCAGAGGAGACUGGAAUUCCCGGUGUAGCGGUGAAAUGUGUAGAGAUCGGGAGGAACACCGGUGGCGAAGGCGGGUCUCUGGGCAUUUCCUGACGCUGAGGUGCGAAAGCGUGGGGAGCAAACGGG